GUGGCUGAGCGGUAAAGUGCUUGGCUUCCAAACCGGAGGGUCUGGGUUCGAAUCCUGGC
rnacentral:tRNA from 1 species